rnacentral:rRNA from 1 species
GACGAACGCUGGCGGCGUGCUUAACACAUGCAAGUCGAACGGAAAGGCCCUGCUUGCAGGGUGCUCGAGUGGCGAACGGGUGAGUAACACGUGGGUGAUCUGCCCCUUACUUUGGGAUAAGCCUGGGAAACUGGGUCUAAUACUGGAUAGGACCAUGCUGUAGGUGGUGUGGUGGAAAGAUUAGUUUCGGUAAGGGAUGAGCUCGCGGCCUAUCAGCUUGUUGGUGGGGUAAUGGCCGACCAAGGCGUCGACGGGUAGCCGGCCUGAGAGGGUGGACGGCCCCGUUGGGACUGGGACACGGCCCAGACUCCUACGAGAGGCAGCAGUGGGGAAUAUUGCACCAUGGGCGCAAGCCGGAUGCAGCGACGCCGCGUGGGGGAUGACGGCCUUCGGGUUGUAAACUACUUUCAGCCAUGACGAAGCCCUUGUGGUGACGGUAGUGGUAGAAGAAGCACCGGCUAACUACGUG